rnacentral:misc_RNA from 1 species
AAGUCGUAACAAGGUCUCCGUUGGUGAACCAGCGGAGGGAUCAUUACCGAGUUUACAACUCCCAAACCCCCAUGUGAACGUUACCAAACUGUUGCCUCGGCGGGAAUUCAUGCCCCGGGCGCGUCGCAGCCCCGGACCAAGGCGCCCGCCGGAGGACCAACCAAAACUCUUUUGUAUGUCCCCUCGCGGACUUUUAUUAUUCUGAACCACCUCGGCGCCCCUUAGCGGGCGUUCCGAAAAUGAAUCAAAACUUUCAACAACGGAUCUCUUGGUUCUG